rnacentral:rRNA from 1 species
AUUGAACGCUGGCGGCAGGCCUAACACAUGCAAGUCGAGCGAGCGGCGGACGGGUGGGUAAUGUAUGGGGACUGCCCGAUAGAGGGGGAUAACGAGUGGAAACGGUGGCUAAUACCGCAUACUAUCGGAUAACCCAUAUGGGUUUAGCUAGUAGGUGGGGUAAAGGCUCACCUAGGCGACGAGCCCUAGCUGGUCUGAGAGGAUGAUCAGCCACACUGGGACUGAGACACGGCCCAGACUCCUACGGAGGCAGCAGUGGGGAAUAUUGGACAAUGGGCGCAAGCCUGAUGCAGCAAUGCCGCGUGUAUGAAGAAGGCCUUAGGGUCGUAAAGUACUUUCGGCGGGGAGGCGUUACCCACAGAAGAAGCACCGGCUAACUCCGUGCCAGCAGCCGCGGUAAUUC